UACGUAGGGUGCAAGCGUUAUCCGGAAUUAUUGGGCGUAAAGAGCUCGUAGGCGGUUUGUCGCGUCUGCUGUGAAAGGCCUGGGCUCAACCUGGGAACUGCAUCCGAUACGGCGGGACUGGAGUGUGGGAGAGGUUGGUGGAAUUCCCAGUGUAGAGGUGAAAUUCGUAGAUAUUGGGAAGAACACCGGUGGCGAAGGCGGCCAACUGGACCACAACUGACGCUGAGGCGCGAAAGCGUGGGGAGCAAACAGG
rnacentral:rRNA from 1 species